GAUGAACGCUGACAGAAUGCUUAACACAUGCAAGUCGAUGGGGAAGUGGUGCUUGCACCAUGGUAACCAUGGCGGACGGGUGAGUAACGCGUAAGGAACUUGCCUGCGGGACUGGGAUAACAGCAGGAAACUGCUGAUAAUACCGGAUAAGGUCAUUAAGCUGCAUAGCUUAGUGAUGAAAGGAGACGCCUGCGGAGAGCCUUGCGUCCUAUUAGCUAGUUGGAGGGGUAACGGCCCACCAAGGCGAAGAUAGGUAGCCGGCCUGAGAGGGUGGACGGCCACAAGGGGACUGAGAUACGGCCCUUACUCCUACGGGAGGCAGCAGUGGGGAAUAUUGGACAAUGGGGGCAACCCUGAUCCAGCAAUUCUGUGUGCACGAAGACGGUUUUCGGACUGUAAAGUGCUUUCAGCAGGGAAGAAGGAAGUGACGGUACCUGCAGAAGAAGCGACGGCUAAAUACGUG
rnacentral:rRNA from 1 species